rnacentral:lncRNA from 1 species
GGCAGUAAGGAAGCUCGUCCCAGAUCCCAGUUUGGUAUUUUAUCUCCUUUGUGGUGUUUUAACUGUGAGAAUUUCCUGCUCCAACCCCAUGCGUGGUCCCGCGGUACCCCCUGGAAAGGAGGGCCUUUAAUUAAAGUACAACUCCCUGUUUGCCCCGCUGGGUUUGUAACAGCUGUGGUAAUAAGAGAUCUGGGACUGAAGGGAAAUCUUAGAGCUCGAAGUCGCCUCCAACAAAAACCGAGCAAAUAACUUUAAUAAGGCUGAAUUCUCUCUUCUGUUUAAGGUGUUUUUUUCCCCACUUCCUCCAAGGAACAACACACUGCAAAAGGAUAAAGGCUGAUCCAGUAUAGCAACCUUUCUGAGACCUGCCUUAAGGCUAAGAUGAACAUUCAGGAGCUCAGUGGAGAGCAAAGCAGUGAUUCUCAGCCUGCACACCAGUCUUUGCAGAAAUGGAAGCCUGCUCAUGUAUGAGCUGCAGCAUCCUCAGGGCCUGUCCUUAGUGCUGCUGGAGGAGUGAGCAGAAGGAAAUGACAUCUGUGCCAGAUGGAGAAACCUGAACGUGGAGGCUUCAGAACUUCCCCCCAGAGGACAAGGAAUUAAAGGAACUUCGUCUUGUGAACCAAAGUCACGUGUCGGCUGUUAUCAGCUACUUCUUGCCUUCUUGCACAGCCAUAUCUGUCAAUACCACAUGGAAGCACACAGCCCGUAGUGUUGAGGAGCUUUGCCUGCAAAAUUCCUGCUUUUGUUUUGAGACUGCUCCUAUGAGAUACUCCCUUCAAUGGCACCUUAAUGGUUACACAGGGCACUGAGGAAGGCUCAAACCUUCAUAACUACAGUACAGCUCCCUCCAUCCAGGUACACUGGGCGUUUGGCAUUCAUACGAAGUUUCUUUGGCAGGCACUGCUUACCAUUUCCUCAUAUUAACAUCUAUCACAAAGAAAUCUCAUCUUCGGGCUCCAGCAGCCUAAUGGCUUCCUUCAGCAUCUGAAUACAUCAACAGCUGUGGCUUCAGCCAUUUUGUCUGACCAAACUGAGAGCGGCCCAAAACCUGCUUCUGCACCAGGAGGGGAUAAAGGAGCCUCUUCUUCUGCAGAGAAGGCUUCCCACAAAACAUACAGAAUUGCAAACAUAAUUCUUCCUUCUCUCCACAGUCCUGAUCGCAGCAAUCUGAAGGCAGAAUGUUUACUCAAAAGGGAGUAUGUCUUUAAACAUCACAAGGCGUGCUUACAGCACUGUGCUGCACAGACAUUGUGUAUCAGAGUACGUGUCUGUGCCACAGAUGAGGCGAUGAUGUCAGCUGAAAAUGCCCUUGUGCCCAGCUGGCAGCAGUGCUGGUGUGCAGCCCUGCUGUGCUGUCACUGUGCUGCUGAGAGCUGCUGCUGCUGGGAAGGGCCAUUCUGUGACACUGCACUUCUGUCUCCUGCUUUCAUGCUAUUUCAGUGCUCUCUGUCUUUGCUCAUGCUGUUCAGCGUGCAGACCUAGCAGAAAGCCUUGAAGGCAGUAAAUUGUCAGAGCAGUCUGGACUUGCAAUGAGCUAUUUUAUGACCAAGUACAGAAAUUCUUCACUUCUUAUUUCAUUCAAAAGUUGUGUGAUUUGAGCAUGAUUGUCCUGGGCUUUUUGUUUCUUUCUUUGUUUUUUUUCCCCCCUCUUUUAAUGCAAGUGAGGAAAAGCCUCACCCUGCAGGCAUGAAAACAGCAUUCUCCAUAGUGAGGACUCUUAGGAGCCUUUUGGAGAAAGGGGUCUGGAGUUAUCUGUGUGUUUACAUCUUCUGCAUUGAUUUCUCUAAGCUGACAGUGCAGUGGGCAGUGCAUCAAUAUGCAGUCUGUGGUGAGAGAGACCAAGGCAUUGCAGGGCAUGCACACUUGUCUGUUGCCUCAUGCCAGAGCUCAGUGCCAUGCCUCUUCUCAGCAUCAAACAUAGGAUCAUCACUGACAUCAGUGACAGCGCAGCCUUUUUGUGAGCGCUGUGCAGCCUCUGCAGUUUAUAAAUAGCAUUCCCAAGGGACAGCUGCAGAAUGACCCAGAUUGACCAAAAUACACCGUGUUUAGAAAAUUCCAUGCUAAAACAGCCCUUCCCCUGACGGGUACACAUCCUUGACUCUAUUUCUGCUCCAACGCUCAUCGGCAUUUCAGCCAGGAGGAAAAGCAGCUCCUCUUGGGCUGUCACGACAGUGAGGUGACAGAGGCAAAGAAAAGAAGUUUGGCUUUCUGUGUUGUCAAGUAAAAGGUUCUCCAGUUUGCAUUUCAGUCGGGACCGUGGACUGAGAUUUUGUCUCCUUU